rnacentral:lncRNA from 7 species
UUAUUGAAAUAGUCAGUGCUCCCUUGGGCUGUGGGGAAGGGAAAGGCACUUUUACAGUGUUUUGGAACAUUUUUCUUCCUCGGGAUUCUGACUUUUCACCACAUAUUUAUGCUACGUUGAGAGAGGAGAAGAAAAGAAAAAGAACUCAAAGGUUUUACAGUUUCGAAGCAAAUAAAGGGGAGAUGCUGUUGUGGCUGCAGAGGUGAGCUAUGGACAGCUGGUGGAAGAGAAUCAGGCCCCAUGGUAAAGAGGGAAAGGACGGAGCAGCUCUCUUGUCUGCCAGAAGACUGAAGCUGUUGAUGAUAGUAUUUCAGAACUUACAAGUUUUCCUGACCCAGCUUUGAGCAGGAAGUACAACGUUCUCCAGACCUCCAAAAUUCAGCAGUGCUGAGUGUGGAAGACCUGAUGACUUCUACACAGAGUUCCUUUGAGGCUCCAGGAUUAAACAACUCAGUCUUCAGACUAUACGGAGGAGGUUGUAUUUCUGGGGCACCUGUGCCAUGUUGUUCCCCUGUGAACAGCUUUUCCAUAGACAAGUUAACUCCAUGCAGAAACAUCUCAGGACCAUCUUCAUAUAUGAUUCAGUUAAUUUGCAACCUAGAUACAUUUCUGAAAAGUAAUCAAAAUUCAGUCAUAUUCUGAUUCUUUGCAGUUGAUGUUUAAUCAGUGCAAGAAUGUAAUAUUACUCCCACUUGUCUUUGUAUAAAUCUGGAGGAAAUCCACUUAUUUAAGUCGAGUUAGAAGGUAGCUUACGGUCUUUCCAUGGAAUUGGAGUUGAUCCUGCAAGCAUUUAGCUUCACUUUAGCUCCACGAUUUUUUCUGACGGAAAGAACAGUUCAGGUGCAGACAGUGGGAGUAGAGCAAAAUCAUGUUCUCUAUUACCUACACAUCUCUAAUUUCAAGCUCCAAUUUUUGGAAGCAAAAUUAUUUGGCCCCCCACAUGGUAUCUGUUUCUGGAACUUAUUAUCUGCUUUGUUAAGUUCAGAUGGCAUUCAGAUAAGGAGAAUUUAAUUAGACAUCUCAGUAAUCAUACGUGUAUACUUACUGCCUCAGCAGGGGGUGACUUCUUCAAAACAAACCCCUUCACAUUACUAAGGACAGCAUGUUUUCCCUGAAAGCUUUCAUAUUGUGUGUAUGUACGUGUAUGUCGCCUCCUUUUUCUCUGGAGUUCAUAUCACACAGUGUUUCCUCUUUGAAGAUUUUCAUGUUGUUUGGGAAUAUCUCUAUGUAGAAAAACUUCCUGAUCUUAUGUGUUCCUCUGAGAAAAUGCUCAUUUUACUCUGUUGCUCCACUUUGAAGAUGGCCAUAACAUCGGGGGGUUGAUUCCAAACCAAAACGUUUCUCAAGCCUGGGAGGACAUUUCUCUAAGAUGGUAGGGCAUAUGUGCAGAUGACAUUUCUUUGGGAAUCUGUCCAUUACAGAGGUGUCCUCACUCAACUAUGCUGUUUUGCAGUUUACAGUGUCAUCAUAUUUUCCAUCUGAAAAUCUAGGCAGAAGAGCAUGUUUACAAUAGUUCCGUUAGAAAUAGCUUGAGAAAGUCUUCAGUGGGAGAAACCCAAAAGUAAGUGGGAAAUGAGUUUCUGGCUUGUACUGUUUAAUAUUUUUCCUAUUCUCAUAUUUGAAGAUCUGUUUCAAACCCUCGCUGGCAAUUAAGAUGCUGAUGUCCAAUAGAUGAACCGACUAAACGCAAAAGUUUUACUCAAAUUCUGCUGAACUUUGGAAUGAU